rnacentral:lncRNA from 1 species
GUUGUUUGUUCUUUUGGGUAAAUUUCUUAGUUUAGGUAACUGGUAAGUAUUUUAGAUUGUGUACAAAUUCUACAAAUUUUUGAUUCAUGCCAUAGGGGGGAAUGUGAUAAAGGAUGAAAAGGUUUGCAAUUUGCAAAACUAUGCAAAAACUGAUUGACAGUGGCAUGUGACCACGGGUCACAUGGAAACCUGAGCCUCAGGGUCUGGGAAGAUUCCAUUUUGGCCCAACUGACUUCCUUCUGGUCUCCUGAGGAAGUUGAGAGGAAGGCAUGAAGAGGAUUUCCCUGUGUUCAGAUUGAGUUCCUAUAUCUGGCUGCUGGCAGCAUCAUUCUUACGUGGAUAUCAGGACUUGCUUGGACAUCUAACAACAGAUCCUGGCUCUAACUGUUUCUGGACUCAUGCUGUAAGAGUAACCAGAGCCCCUGCAGGGAAAAUCCUAUGGAGUUUUAUCAUAAAGAGCUAUGAUGGACCUUAAAGACCAAUGAGUCCAACCUUUCAUUGUAAAGAUGAAGAAACUAGGCUAUGAAGAAGUUAUGUGACUUGCCUAAAGUCACAUGGGAAGAAAGUAAAAGAGGCAUAAUUUGAACUCAAGUCUUCCUGAAUCCAGGUCUGACUCCCUAUCCAUUAUACCAUAUCACCGGUCAUCUAAUCUAACUUCUGCUCAUUCUCUUCCUACUCUCCAAUAACAAAACACAAGUCUCUUGUCAUUCAGUUGUUUUUCAGUUGUAUCCAACUUUUCAUCAUCCCAUUUGAGUUUCCUUGGCAAAGACAUUGGAUUUGAUUUACCAUUUCCUUCAGCUUAUUUUGCAGAGGGGAAACUAAGGCAAACAGGGUUAAGUGACUUGCCUAGAGUCAUACAACUAGGAAACUCCUUACUCCCAGUCUAGGGCUCUAUCCAUUGUACCAUCUGGCUGUCACACACCAGUAUCUUAGAUAACUCCAAAAUGACUUUCUAUAAAGGAUUUCAGCCAAUUACUUCAUUUCUUUGAGUCUUAUUUUCCUCAUCUCCAAAAUUAAGAAAUUGGAUUAAAUGGCUUGUGAGGUUUAUUUUGUCUUUAAAUCUAUGAUUAUACUAUAAGAAGACACACAAUGAAGGAAGGAGGGAUAAAGUAACAGAACAAAAAUAUUCAAAGCUAAAUAAAUCCUUAAAGUUGUUACA